GUCCAGAGGUCCGUCUGUGGUUUGGGGGUAUUUGGGUGCCCCUGGAAUGAAGUACGUUCUGAAGUAUGCUGCACCGAAGUGAGGGGACCGGGAGUCAUGGAGGGCCAGAGCGCAGAGAUGCUGCAGGCCAGGUGGAGGCGGAGAAGUUGCAGCGCCUCCCAGUGCACAAAGAGCUGGAGCAAGAAUUCGACCUUGGCACCCUACCGGCUCCGGACCGCACUCCCGGACAGGCCGAGCUGCCGGCCUUGGCGCGGGACAGCACGCAGCUGCUCAUCACCGUGCUGCUGCCGACCGUGCGCUGGGGGAGGAGGUGGUAGCGCGCUUGCCGGUGCCCUCCACUCGCUUGCCCCGCGGGAAGCUGCUAUUCGUGCCGCGGCUGCUCACCCGCUGGCAGCAGUUCGCGCGUCAUCAGAGCAUCCGCCCAAGAAGACCACUUUCUUGUGGGACGAGGUGAGUGGCCAGUGGCGGUGCUGAUUGGACUGCAAGCUCGCCCGGAACCACAGUAUGGAAUGGCUGAUAAAUGUGCCUGGGGGCACCCGACCCCAUGGAAGCAGAUUUAGGCCAAGAAGGAACGCGUGGCCAAGAACGAGCUAAAACGGCCGCGGAACCUGGCCCGAGUGCACAAGAUGUAGAUGCCCAACUCAGUCGGCCUGCACCCAACGAGACACCUGAGUAAGGAGGAGCUGGUCUGCGCCCAGCAAGUGGCCAGUGACUCCACCGCUGCAGUGGGACGCUUCCAGGAGCGCCUCUCUAAGGAGAAGACGCCCCUAGAGCCCCGGAAGAAGAGGAAGUUUUAGUCCCUCUUUGAGGACUUUGUGACCGAGAAAAUGACCAGUUGGAGCUACUGAAAGUCAAGAACAGCAAGAAGCCUCAUCAGGAUGUGAGGGGGCGCAUCAACAAGCAGAUGAGAGAAGAGGAAAAUGAGCCAGAAAGGCGAAGAGAAAGGGGAUCCAGCAAAGAUCUUUGAGUAAGAGCAGGGGCUGGAGAGAUGGCUUAGCAGUUAAGAGCACUGACUUCCCUUCCAGAGGUCCUGAGUUCAAUUCCCAGCAACCACAUGGUGGCUAAAUAAUAAAUAAUAAAUCU
ensembl:lincRNA 4632415L05Rik RIKEN cDNA 4632415L05 gene